rnacentral:lncRNA from 1 species
AAUCAAGCCUGGGCAAUGGCGGGCGCCCCUCCCCCAGCCUCGCUGCCGCCUUGCAGUUUGAUCUCAGACUGCUGUGCUAGCAAUCAGCGAGACUCCCUGGGCAUAGGACCCUACGAGCCAGGUGCGGGAUAUAAUCUCGUGUUGCACCGUUUUUUAAGCCUGUCGGAAAAGCGCAGUAUUCUGGUGGGAGUGACCCGAUUUUCCAGGUGCCGUCCAUCACUCCUUUCUUUGACUCAGAAAGGGAACUCCCUGACCCCUUGCGCUUCCCAAGUGAGGCAAUGCCUCGCCCUGCUUCGGCUCGCGCACGGUGCACGCACCCACUGACCUGCGCCCACUGUCUGGCACUCCCUAGUGAGAUGAACCCGGUACCUCAGAUGGAAAUGCAGAAAUCACCCGUCUUCUGCGUCGCUCACGCUGGGAGCUGUAGACCGGAGCUGUUCCUAUUCGGCCAUCUUGGCUCCUCCCUCUGAAGGGGAAUGAACACGCAAUGGAAGCUGGAGAUAGACAUCUGGGAGGCCUCUGUAGGAGUCCAACAGAAAAUUUUAAGUACCUGUUUAAAGCAAUUUACAAGAUACUGUGGAGAUUCCCAGCAAUAAAGAAUGUACUAUAGUUAAGCUGGAAUCCAACUCCUGAAUUUCUGGAGCCCUGAAGACCACUUAGUCUUACUCACAAGAAUUGAAUGGAAUGUGAAUCUACACUCAGGUGAAGCCAGGGUAUUUUGAACGUCCCUACAAGACUGAAGCACCACUGGGAAAUAAGUAAUAGAGAUGCCAUCAUUGUGGAGGUCAUAAUGCUUGUCCUGAACACGAGGGGUCUCUAGUGAGGCACCAAUUCAGCUCCUCUUCUGUGGAGAGACUACAUGGGUGCUGAAGAAACAAAGACACAACGCAGCUCCUCUCAAAGGAGUUCAGAGCUUAGCAGGGGAGACAGAACCAUGAAUGCAUAGUUACGCAUCAAUGUGCUGCACGAGCACUGAAGCCCAAGCACAAGCGGCCUGAGUCCCAAAAACAUUUGCUGACUGCUGUUCUAUCUAGGAUAUCAUCAGUGUGUAGAUGAUCAGAGUUCAUGUCAGUGUUCCUACAAGCCAAUGAAGGUUCUGAGGAGGCAGGACCAAGAAAUGGAUGUUGAUGUUUAGGAGACUGUAUGUAAUAUGUAAAUAAAAUGAAAAACAGAGAUCUGUGUUCUGAAUGGAAAAAUUCCUACUGAUGCCAGUAAGUGAGCCAUCCAUCUAUGAUGUGUCUAUGGGGAAGAAAGUGACAUGAAUGAGUAAAAUAGAAUAUAUGCUUUAAAUCAUGAAAAUUGAGUCCAGAUGGAAAGGUUAGGAGGAAAUGGAGUGGAAAGGUGGAUGAAGAAGAGUGAGAACUCAUGCAGUCGUUGCGACUUGGUUGACACUUCCUUCCCUGUGACUACAAUUCCAAGUUCAGUACUCCUGAGCUUUUAUAGAUGGAUGAGAAUAUAGGGGGAAGAAACAAGAGGAAGGAGUUUUCUGAAAUCUCGGUGGAGAGGAGGGAGAAAAAAGAUGGGAAAAUGUUACAAGCAUUCUGUUCAUGUUGUAUCACUUAGUGCAGUCUUGUCUUCCCAGCCCACUAGUCUGGAACAAGUCAGUCUCAAACAUAACAACAGACACUGGGGAGCUCUCCAACAAAAGAUCACCUCCCAAAGAACAGGAUGGUGUCGAAGACUGAAUGCCAGCCUGAGGAAACAGAAAUACUACAGAAGCACGCCAGAGCCUGCAGUGUCUCCUCGCUGCCUCUCAAUGAACUGCUAAAAGACCAAGAACUCUGCUGAGAGAUAAGAAGAGGGGAGGGUGUGCUGCAGGUGGUGCUGGGAGGCCCAGACCUUCUCCUGACAUCUGGGGCUGGCUACAGGAAACAGAAACAUCACCCAGGCCUUGGCGCGAGACAGGACAGAGGCAGAUUGUGACUCAGAUCUGCAGGUGGAAAGUGGGCCUUUCGUUUUCUCCUAGGGGUAGAGCAAAGCCAGAGGGCUCAGUCAGAGGAAACCUAAGGCAGUUCAUGAUCCCUUCAACUUUAUACCAUUUCCUCAAAACUGCCUCCAAACAGUGGGCAACUGGAAAGGUGGUCUGACCUCCAGUGAUCACACAGUAUGCAUUAUAACAGAAGGCUGUCACUGUCAAUUGCAUGGCUCCCUCACUAUGCAUUCCUUCUAUCAAUUUACGACAACACACUGUAGUGAGUACCUGCACAUUGCUGGGUAUUUUGGCAGACAUUGAUAGUAGAUGAAUAACACCUGGUACUUGACCUUGAGACGCUCACUGCCUAGUGUGGGGAACCAAUGGUUGCAAUAUAAAGUAUUAACUAGAGGGAUAGAGGACUGCCUGAGGAUCUCUGCACUCAGAGGAAGGGCCAUGAGAUCAGCCAGGACAGUAGGGAGGCAGUGACUCAUGAAAUUAGCAAGUGGUGAGAAGAGGGCAGUAGAUUCAGCGGCUGCUAAAAAAGGUUACUGAACUUUUUGUUUCAUCAAUGCCAAGAAAUUAAUCUGUUUUAGCCUCUUUCAUGGCCUCUGUUUGAAAUUUUUUAACUUUUUUUUUUUUUUUAGAUUUAGGGGUACAAGGACAGUUGUAUUGCAUGAGUAUAUCAUAUAGUGGUGAAGCCUGGGCUUUAAGUGCACCUAUCACCCGAAUAGCGUACAUUGUACCCACUAGGUAGUAUUUCAUUUCUCACCCUUCUUCCACCUUUUGGAAUCUCCAGUGUUUGUUGUUCUACUCUGUAUGCCCAUGUGUACUCAUUGUUUCACUCCCACUUAUAAGUGAGAACAUGUGCUUUUGACUUUCUGUUUCUGAGUUGUUUCACUUAGGAUAAUGCAUGUUCCUGUUUUGAUUCAGUCAAAAUCCUGGGGUCAGCACUGACAAUGUGAUUAACCCCUGUCCUAAAUUCACUGCAGAGGAACUGCUCCCAUAUGACUACUUAUUACCACCCAAGCCAGAAACCACAAAGAUAUUCUGACCUCUCCUCCUUCACUCCCCACCAACUGGUGAGUAAGCUAGUCACCAAGUCUUGAUUCUACUUGCAAACAUCUUUGGAAGGGAUCUCUCACUCCACACAGUCUCUGUCAUUGCCAAGUAUACCCAUUACCUCUGCUCUGUCCUACGGCUCAUCAUUCCUCAUCUACAUGCUGCACCAACCUCCUAACUCCCAUUCCUCCCCCUCCUAGUUCACUGCCAUAGCGUAAUCUUUCUAUAUCACGGAUCAUAUUGUGUCCGAAAUUGGUGGGUUCUUGGCCUCACUUACUUCAAGAAUGAAGCUGCAGACCCUCGUGGUGAGCGUUACAGUUCUUAAAGGUGAUGUGUCUGGAGUUUGUUCCUUCUGAUCAUGUUCGGAGUUUCUUCCUUCUGGUGGGUUCGUGGUCUCGUUGGCUUCAAGAGUGAAGCUGCAAACCUUCAAGGUGAGUGUUACAGCUCUUAAGGCAGCGCAUCUGGAGUUGUUUCUUCCUCC